rnacentral:lncRNA from 1 species
CCGAACCGUCCCGGCGGUGCCCCCCGGCCCCCCCUCUCCCCUCCCCGCUGCCCAGCUCCGUGGCUCAGGGCAGAGCCCGUACCCCCGCCCCGUGCCCGCCGUUCGGCUGCGAACUUUCCGCCGGGGUGAGUUCUCCUUUAAGAACAGGCACGGCUCCUUCUGCAUAUUGAACGCUGUUUGUCUGCAGCGCGCAGAUGACGCGGGGCAGGAGCGGGACGGCUGGGGCGUAAAUCACCGCGCUCUGCAAUGGCCCCAGCGGGGAGCCCCGUGCCAUUGCCCCGUCCUCUGCUGAAGACACCGAAUCACCCUCGCCCUGUGGCUGCGGGCAGACCUUGGUGGAGAGCAGCGGCAGAACCCAACCACGCAACUUCUACCUGCAAGGGAGCAGAGCGGACAGCCCCCCACUCCCGCCCCGCGUCGAACGCAGCCGUAACUCAAUGCAAACUGUGGGGAGAGGCGUUUUCCACGUGGCAACAAAUGAUGGAGAUUUCCCACUCCUCUCCGCUGCUCGGACCGCGUGGGGUCGUUCCCUCCGGCUGCGGCCGUGCCGUCCUUCUCGCAGAGGUGUAGGAAACAGAUUCCCACCUUAGGUCUCCCACCAAAGCGAAUUGCUUUUGGCGCAGCACGCGUCCUAACCAACUGUCUCCCUGUGUUUAUUUCUUUGGUUGCAGCCGGAAAAAAAAAAAAAAGAAAGAAAGAAAAAAAAAAAGAAAACUGAAAUGUCCUUGCGUUCGUGGAGGCACUUUGUCGUCGAGGCAGUGCUCACGCAUGAGCUGAUUGCCGGGAUCUAUUUGCAUGCAGCUGCGAGCCCGCGGCCCGGCUGCUGACCGCCGCGCAUAAAGGGCCGCGGGGCCGCCCCAGCGGGGCACGGCCCGAGGGCGGGGGCAGGAGGCGGCCUCGCCCCGCGCUCCUGCCGGGGAGAUAACUGCCGGCAUAGCCCGCAGCGGGACGGGGCCCCCGGUCCCGAGGCUGCAGGUGCGGGAGCCACAACGAAAGGAGCUCCCGCUGGCCCAGGAAAAGCUCCCGCCCUCCCCCCCGCUUGCGUCCCAGGGACGAGGGCUGGUAGCAAUCCUUCAGCGGAAUUUCCAGCGCUUUGAAAAUUCCAGUAGUUUUGAUGCUCUUUUUCUCCCUUUUUAG